UAUUAUAUAUAAAAGACACAUGCCAUAUAAAUACAAAUACAAAUAAAUACAAACACACAAUUUCACUCCCAUCUUAGUAAAUUUCACCUACAAUUUCAACAGAUACAUAAUCAGAGUAUCACUAUGUCUUUGGAGAUAUUAAAUGUCAAUGUGUACUACAUUACCCAGAAGGCUUGCCGCUCGAGGGGAAACCGGAAGUAUAUACGCUGUCGUUGAAGGUACAACCGAGUAAGGGUAAUGUGCUAAUAAAGCAAUAAGGGGUUUAUAGAGGUGUGUAGUUUGUUGGACAACCAACAAACACAACAUUAAUUAACUAGUUGGAUUGUAAUUAUGAUGGUUUCAGCGGCGCACUGAUUGUGUGUUUGUGCACAACUACCGCACAAGCUGCAGAUAUCUGCUGGAAAAGAACGCACCACAAAGAGAAAGACAGUAUCUCGUGCUACACCUGACGUAUUUGUACUUGGUGGAAUUCUGCCCACAAUGAAGACUCUAAGGAACAGUUUAUCGAAGGCCCUUUUCUGUGUGGAAGAACGCGAGUGCCCUGACCUGAACCUUAUGAAACACCUUUGGGAUGCAAAAAUGAACACGGAAACACUCCAGAAUCUUUUGGAAAGCCUCCUAGGAGAGCGUAAGCUGUUUUAGCUGCAAAGGCCAGCGCGGUGGAUACCAUGUUGGAAUGUAUUUUUGUGUGUCCCAAUACUUUAGUCCAUAUAGUGUGCAUGAUGCAAUA